rnacentral:rRNA from 1 species
GGAGUCUGGGCCGUAUCUCAGUCCCAAUGUGCCCGAUCACCCUCUUAGGCCGGGUAGCUAUCGUCGCCUUGGUGGGCCGUUACCCCGCCAACUAGCUAAUAGCCCGCGGGCCGCUCUUCCGGUGCAUCAAAAGAUGCUUUCCUGCAUGGCCUCUGUUCCCAUGCAGCGUAUUCGGUAUUAUCUCCUGUUUCCAGGAGCUAUCCCCAUCCGGAAGGUACGUCACCCACGCGUUACUCACCAGUCCGCCAUUCUAGGAUAAGAGCAAGCUCUUAUCUUGCCAUUCGACUUGCAUGCUUAAGACGCGCCGCCAGCGUUCGUU